rnacentral:rRNA from 1 species
AAGUCUGGUGCCCGCAGCCGCGGUAAUUCCGGCUCCAAUAGCGUAUAUUAAAGUUGUUGCAGUUAAAAAGCUCGUAGUUGAAUUUCGGGGUUAGUAGGUUGGUCAUGCCUCUGGUAUGUACUGGUCUCACUGAUUCCUCCUUCCUUAUGAACCGUAAUGCCAUUAAUUUGGUGUUGCGGGGAAUUUGGACUGUUACUUUGAAAAAAUUAGAGUGUUUAAAGCAAGCUAACGCUUGAAUACAUUAGCAUGGAAUAAUGAAAUAGGACGUUCGAUCUUAUUUUGUUGGUUUCUAGGAUUGACGUAAUGAUUAAUAGGGAUAGUUGGGGGCAUUAGUAUUCAAUUGUCAGAGGUGAAAUUCUUGGAUUUAUUGAAGACUAACUACUGCGAAAGCAUUUGCCAAGGAUGUUUUCAUUAAUCAAGAACGAAAGUUAGGGGAUCGAAGACGAUCAGAUACCGUCGUAGUCUUAACCAUAAACUAUGCCGACUAGGGAUCGGAUGAUGUUAAUUUUUUAAUGACUCAUUCGGCGCCUUACGGGAAACCAAAGUGUUUGGGU